UAUGUGUGUGUGUGUGUGUGUGUGUGUGUGUGUGUACAGUAUAUGGAGAGGGAGGAGGUUGUGAUUGAGCACAGAGCAAUGAAGGAGAGACAAAGAAUCAAAGAAGAACAAGAGAAGAAAGAAAUACGACAGCAACCAAACUACAGGCCUGGUGGAGAGGUAUGAUGGUGAGGAAGGGACUGGGUCCAUUUAAGAAAGGGAUUAAGAAGAAAG
rnacentral:lncRNA from 1 species